rnacentral:rRNA from 1 species
GACGAACGCUGGCGGCGUGCUUAACACAUGCAAGUCGAACGGAAAGGCCCUGCUUUUGUCGGGUGCUCGAGUGGCGAACGGGUGAGUAACACGUGAGUGACCUGCCCUUGACUUUGGGAUAACUUCAGGAAACUGGGGCUAAUACCGGAUAGGUGCUCCUGCUGCAUGGUGGGGGUUGGAAAGUUCCGGCGGUUGGGGGUGGACUGGCGGCUUAUCAGCUUGUUGGUGGGGUAGUGGCUUACCAAGGCUUUGACGGGUAGCCGGCCUGAGAGGGUGACCGGCCACAUGGGUACUGAGAGAGGGCCCAGAGGCCAACGUGAGGCAGCGGUGGGAAAUCUUGCACAAUGAGCGGAAGCCUGAUGCAGCAACGCCGCGUUCGGGAUGACGGCCUUCGGGUUGUAAACCGCUUUCGCCUGUGACGAAGCGUGAGUGACGGUAAUGGAUAAAGAAGCACCGGCUAACUACGUG